rnacentral:rRNA from 1 species
GACGAACGCUGGCGGCGUGCCUAAUACAUGCAAGUAGAACGCUGAAGGAGGAGCUUGCUUCUCUGGAUGAGUUGCGAACGGGUGAGUAACGCGUAGGUAACCUGCCUGGUAGCGGGGGAUAACUAUUGGAAACGAUAGCUAAUACCGCAUAAGAGUAGAUGUUGCAUGACAUUUGCUUAAAAGGUGCAAUUGCAUCACUACCAGAUGGACCUGCGUUGUAUUAGCUAGUUGGUGGGGUAACGGCUCACCAAGGCGACGAUACAUAGCCGACCUGAGAGGGGGAUGGGCCAACCUGGGACGGGGACAAGGCCCAAACCCCGAGGGGGGGCAGCAGAGGGGAAUCUUCGGAAAGGGGAGGAAGUCGGACCGAGCAACGCCGCGGGAGGGAAAAAGGUUUUGGGAUUGUAAAGCUCUGUUUUAAGGGAAAAAGGGUUGGGGGAGUGGAAAGUUCACACUGUGACGGUAUUUUACCAGAAAGGGGCGGCUAACUACGU